UGAUGCCUUGCCCUAAUAAUAAGGGAUUUAAUGCUUUGAUAGGAUGUUUUUUGUUUUACUAUACUUUUCAAGAGAAAGAUUGAGACUAUUACUUGAAGGAAUAUUCUUGUGAGACUGAAGAAUUUGGAACUUAUUAGAGGAUGAGGUGUUGUUGCAUAUUUGAACAAAGCCUUUCCUGUGUUGAAAUGAUGAUGACAUUGCUAUGUGAGACUGUAUCAGGCAGAAGAUUUCUAAAGUGAACAUUUGCUACUGGGAUCUAGUGAGUACUUUCUUCAUCACCAAGAUUAAAUAACUACGUGAAUAUUCUCCAUAUCCAUUUUUGUCCUUGAAAGUUGGGUGAAUGGUCCAAAGAAUGAAUGAUAAUAUUUGAGUGGAAACUAUGUGUGAAAUGCUCAUUAUAUCUAGAAAACUCUAGCUAUCUGAAGUGAGGAAAAAUAUACCAAAUCAAUUUAGGAGAAUUAGAUUCUACCAACCAACGUAGAAUCCGUAUGUAUUUAUGUCUGUAGUGUUUGAUAUUUCCAUGCACAGUGCUUUUCAUUUCUAACAGACAUGCUUACAGAACUUUGCUUUGUUCUAGAGAUCAGAGUUCUGAAGCCAAGGUGUACUUACAGAGGUGGGACAAAGGAAGUCAAUCUGAUUAAUUGUAUUCUCCUGGAGAGCCAUCACUAAAAGUGCAGCCAUCCAUCUCUGACUUCUCCAGCCAUGGAGAUAUUGGCCAUCACAUGAUCCAGAAGGGCAUGGCGGUGAAAGAAGGUAACCCCACUCUCAUCAGACUGCAGCAUCAAAGACAGUCCAACUCUGCAAUCUUAACACACUGAAGUUGCUUAUUUCGAUAGCCAACAUUGAUUGUCCUAAUACAAUGUAACAUACCAUCAGAAUUUCUCCUAAUAAUUUAUUAAAUUAUUAUAGGAGUGAUUCACCAUAGUGCCAAGUUCUAUGAUACACUUAAAGAAAAUGUUUGCAGUUGUUAAUGUUUGCUUCCUCUUCUACUUGUAAAAAUCUUAUAUGCAGCAUCUUACAUAUAUGUUUAGAAAAUCGUGAAAAAUUGAUCAAAUCAAGUUCUGUCUAGAAUAUAUAUAUAUAACUUCCUAAGUAAUUUGAAUUCUCUUUACAAUUAAGUACUUAAUAUGUGUAAUAAUUAUAUAAUUCUAAUAUAAUAAUUCCAAUAUAUAAUAUAACAUAGAAUAAGUAAAUAAUUUUAAUACUUAAAAUUUAAUGUGAUUUGUACAGAUUUUCCUGUGAAAAUAUAACGUGGAAUUUGAAAAUUAUGAAAGAAUGACUAAAAUUACACAUCUGUGAAGAGAUGCAAUAUUUUUAUAUUUUGAUUCUACUAUCUGGAAAUUACAGAGGCAGUCAAAGGCUUAGUGAGUGUUAUGAUUAUCCAGGUUUUAUCUUGCAAUUUCUUCAUUCUGAUUUUACUUGUAUUUCAUUUCUUGUGUUUCACUACUCUCAUAUACUGAAAUACUAGUUGACUUUUCUAUAAUUAAAUUCACCUAAGCUUAUGAGAACCUAUUUUUUUAUUUACUGAAGAAAAAAUUAAAACAGUAAAUUUGCCCUUAA